CAGUAGCCACGGGAAUACGAAGGGGGCUAGCGUUGCUCGGAAUUACUGGGCGUAAAGGGAGCGUAGGCGGACAUUUAAGUCAGGGGUGAAAUCCCAGAGCUCAACUCUGGAACUGCCUUUGAUACUGGGUGUCUUGAGUGUGAUAGAGGUAUGUGGAACUCCGAGUGUAGAGGUGAAAUUCGUAGAUAUUCGGAAGAACACCAGUGGCGAAGGCGACAUACUGGAUCAUUACUGACGCUGAGGCUCGAAAGCGUGGGGAGCAAACAGGAUUAGAUACCCGGGUAGUCCCUGUCUCUUAUAC
rnacentral:rRNA from 1 species